rnacentral:rRNA from 1 species
AGUGAACGCUGGCGGUAGGCCUAACACAUGCAAGUCGAACGGCAGCACAGUAAGAGCUUGCUCUUACGGGUGGCGAGUGGCGGACGGGUGAGGAAUACAUCGGAAUCUACUUUUUCGUGGGGGAUAACGUAGGGAAACUUACGCUAAUACCGCAUACGACCUACGGGUGAAAGCAGGGGAUCUUCGGACCUUGCGCGAUUGAAUGAGCCGAUGUCGGAUUAGCUAGUUGGCGGGGUAAAGGCCCACCAAGGCGACGAUCCGUAGCUGGUCUGAGAGGAUGAUCAGCCACACUGGAACUGAGACACGGUCCAGACUCCUACGGGAGGCAGCAGUGGGGAAUAUUGGACAAUGGGCGCAAGCAUGAUCCAGCCAUACCGCGAGGGUGAAGAAGGCCUUCGGGUUGUAAAGCCCUUUUGUUGGGAAAGAAAAGCAGCAGGUUAAUACCCCGCUGUUCUGACGGUACACAAAGAAUAAGCACCGGCUAACUUCGUG